AUGACUUUUUUGUCACAUUGGCGGAAAUGGGCCAUAAUGCGUGUUUCUGUCUCUGUUAGUAAUGGAGAGUUGGUGUACGAGCUUCCGGCAGAGGUUUGUGCUCCUUCUAUCUCUGCUGCUCCACCAUCUACCGUCUCCAUUCCAAAACCGCACAGCUGGAAAACAAUCAGUCUUGUUUGCCCCUGGAAGGAACGCAGGAGAAAACCCAACUGGCUCUGCUUGGAGAGACCUGAAAAUGGCUGUCCACCAACGUUCACCAUCCAACCUGACAGAACUGGAGAGGAUCUGCAAGGAAGAAUGGCAGAGGAUCCCCAAAUCCAGGUGUCAAAAACUUGUUGCAUCAUUCCCAAGAAGACUCAUGGCUGUACUAGCUCAAAAGGGUGCUUCUACUCAAUACUGAGCAAAUGGUCUGAAUACUUAUGACCAUGUGAUAUUUCAGUUUUUCUUUUUUAAUAAAUUUGCAAAAGUUUCUAUAUUUCUGUUUUUUUCUGUCAAGAUGGGGUGCUGAGUGUACAUAAAUGAGAAAUAAAAUGAACUUUUUUGAUUUCAGCAAAUGGCUGCAAUGAAACAAAGAGUGAAACAUUUAAAGGGGUCUGAAUACUUUCCGUACCCAUGGUAUAUCAGUUAAGUAUGUUGUUUAUUUACAGAACAAGACAACCAGUGGAUGCAUACUAGAUAAUCUAUCAUUCUUCAAUGACAACUGUUACCACCACCAAACAGUGAGGAGAGCAUUUCACCACUUUUUGUCAUUGACACAAUUCCAGUAUGACUUGUUACUAGUGUUAACCCUGGUGUUGGGUCUGUGGGACCCGUUUUCAUUCUUUAUUAAAGAAAAAUGAUACAAUUAAUUAAUUUUCAAACUGAGACCACUGACUUUGGCUCAUUUUCUGUGAAGAACAUAUAUCAGAAUACAUAUUUAAUGACCACACACCAUACACCCCCCCUACACAUUUCUAUUACAUAUAAGAUGUCCGGGUCCACUGGACCCGGGGCUAAUAGAAGUGUGGAAAUUGAUGUUCUGUUUACCGCACCCACCCACACCCACACCCAUACCCAUACCCACACCCACACACACACACACACACACACACACACACAGCAGGCCUAGACAGGAGGAGGACAGAGGGUCAAAUGUGCCAGAAAAUGAGAGCAGACAGUGUUGACAAACAAUGUUGCAAUGUGACCUAACAAAGGUAAAGGGCAAAUAUUAACCAUAUAUAUUGUUUAUACUGCUUGUAAUUGGGAUAAGGUAAACAUCUGUUCAGUAUUUUAACAUAAAAGUGUUUGAUUGUGAGGUAUUAAAAGCCACAAAAUGCAACGGGUCCAUCAGACCCACAAACGCUGGCUGAGUAACAACAAUAUGAACAAUACACAAGGGUUAAUGUUAUAAAGAGUUCGGUCUAGACCUGCUCUAUUUGAAAAGUGUCCUGAGAUAACUUUUGUUAUGAAUUGGUGCUAUACAAAUAAAAUUGAAUUGAAUAGUGUGUAAACCACCCAGCUGUGGUAGUUGCACAUGCAAUAGGAAACUGGCCUUUGAUGUCCCAAGAAAGAAUAAGAAUGUAAAGAAUGUAAUUAUAUUUUUACUAUCUGUACUUAUGUGUCUGUACAAAUGUUUGCCUGUAUCAAGGAUGUAAGCAGUCAAUAAAUGAUUAGUAACUUCCUUGUAUGUUGCUAGGGAAAAUUGUCCAUCUUUCUUGAAAUCACAGAUUUGUUGGUAGCAUUGACUCUAUGCCUCUCUGUUAAAUGAUGUGUGGGUCUGUCAUGCCUUUAAUAUUGUUUUUUUAGUUGGGACAACAAUUUUGUGUGUUUUAGUAGUAGGAACAUCCAAGGACCACAAUACAUUCUGCUAUCUAAAAAUGUAUUGGCUAAUUGGGUCUUGAAGAAAAUCAAACUUUUCUCAUUAAAAAAUGUUAUUAUCUGGAUAACCAGACGACAACAGAACACAACAGUCAACAACACAUCCAAUUAUUAGAACAUGUGACUGAUACUCUCUUUAUGACCAAUUCCACCAAAAAAGGCCAGAAGAGAAGCUGAGAAGCCUAAACAUCUGCUCCAGCCUGCAAACUGAAGUCAGCUCUGCCGUUGUGGAGCAGUUUAAUGGAGAACUCGCAUCUGUACGGUAUUCACUGUGCCAAAUGAAAGGGGCUCACUUUAAACAGAGUGCUGAUUGAGCUGCACAACAAAAAAAUUAACAGAAGUUUUAAGACAGUAAUGGAAGCUAUACAGAAAAUGUAAAUGGUAAAUGGACCUGUACUUGUAUAGCGCCUUUCUAGUCUUCCAACCACUCAUACAUUACGUGCCACAUUCACCCUUUCACACCCGGAGAACGAUAAUUGUUUUUAUGAAUUUUACUUUACUUUUCUUUGUUUUUUGUUGUUGAAAAUAGACAUAUCAAAAGGUAUAAAUCAAAGUAUUUAACAACAAGUAUACAAUAUCACAGUAGGAAAAGGUAAGUAUGGUAACUGGUAGGGCAUUUAUUGUAAACUCAAGUCUGAGAAUGGGUGAGGGGAAUAUGGAGCUGAAGCAGAUAGUAAGGGGCUGAGCUGAGCAGAGAGGGUCUGUGGUUGCCGAUCCAGGGUCCAAAGAGGUCCAAAACUGAAGAGGGAUAGAUGAGACAUACAUUGGUGUUAAAAAAAAAGUCA
rnacentral:lncRNA from 1 species